rnacentral:rRNA from 1 species
AGAGACAGCAGUAGCCGCGGGAAUACGUAGGUGGCGAGCGUUGUCCGGAAUCAUUGGGCGUAAAGGGAGCGCAGGCGGGCAUGUAAGUCUUUCUUAAAGGUUCGGGGCUCAACCCCGUGAUGGGAAAGAAACUACAUGUCUUGAGUGCAGAAGAGGAGAGUGGAAUUCCACGUGUAGCGGUGAAAUGCGUAGAUAUACGGAGGAACACCGGUGGCGAAAGCGGCUCUCUGGCUUGUAACUGACGCUGAGGCUCGAAAGCGUGGGGAGCAAACAGGAUUAGAGACCCGUGUAGUCCCUGUCUCUUAUACC